UCAAGUGAAUAAGUGCAUCAGGUGGAUGCCUUGGCGAUGAUAGGCGAUGAAGGACGUGUAAGCCUGCGAAAAGCGUGGGGGAGCUGGCAAUAAAGCUAUGAUCCCGCGGUGUCCGAAUGGGGAAACCCACUGCAUUCUGUGCAGUAUCCUAAGUUGAAUACAUAGACUUAGAGAAGCGAACCCGGAGAACUGAACCAUCUAAGUACCCGGAGGAAAAGAAAUCAACCGAGAUUCCGCAAGUAGUGGCGAGCGAACGCGGAGGAGCCUGUACGUAAUAACUGUCGAGAUAGAAGAACAAGCUGGGAAGCUUGACCAUAGUGGGUGAUAGUCCCGUAUUCGAAAUCUCAAUAGUGGUACUAAGCGUACGAAAAGUAGGGCGGGACACGUGAAAUCCUGUCUGAAUAUGGGGGGACCAUCCUCCAAGGCUAAAUACUCAUCAUCGACCGAUAGUGAACCAGUACCGUGAGGGAAAGGCGAAAAGAACCCCGGGAGGGGAGUGAAAUAGAACCUGAAACCUGAUGCAUACAAACAGUGGGAGCACCCAUGUGGUGUGACUGCGUACCUUUUGUAUAAUGGGUCAACGACUUACAUUCAGUAGCGAGCUUAACCGAAUAGGGGAGGCGUAGGGAAACCGAGUCUUAAUAGGGCGAACAGUUGCUGGGUGUAGACCCGAAACCGAGUGAUCUAUCCAUGGCCAGGUUGAAGGUGCCGUAACAGGUACUGGAGGACCGAACCCACGCAUGUUGCAAAAUGCGGGGAUGAGCUGUGGAUAGGGGUGAAAGGCUAAACAAACUCGGAGAUAGCUGGUUCUCCCCGAAAACUAUUUAGGUAGUGCCUCGAGCAAGACACUGAUGGGGGUAAAGCACUGUUAUGGCUAGGGGGUUAUUGCAACUUACCAACCCAUGGCAAACUAAGAAUACCAUCAAGUGGUUCCUCGGGAGACAGACAGCGGGUGCUAACGUCCGUUGUCAAGAGGGAAACAACCCAGACCGCCAGCUAAGGUCCCAAAUGAUAGAUUAAGUGGUAAACGAAGUGGGAAGGCCCAGACAGCCAGGAUGUUGGCUUAGAAGCAGCCAUCAUUUAAAGAAAGCGUAAUAGCUCACUGGUCGAGUCGUCCUGCGCGGAAGAUGUAACGGGGCUCAAAUCUAUAACCGAAGCUGCGGAUGCCAGUUUACUGGCAUGGUAGGGGAGCGUUCUGUAGGCCGAUGAAGGUGCAUUGUAAAGUGUGCUGGAGGUAUCAGAAGUGCGAAUGUUGACAUGAGUAGCGAUAAAGCGGGUGAAAAGCCCGCUCGCCGAAAGCCCAAGGUUUCCUACGCAACGUUCAUCGGCGUAGGGUGAGUCGGCCCCUAAGGCGAGGCAGAAAUGCGUAGUCGAUGGGAAACAGGUUAAUAUUCCUGUACUUGAUUCAAAUGCGAUGUGGGGACGGAGAAGGUUAGGUUAGCAAGCUGUUGGAAUAGCUUGUUUAAGCCGGUAGGUGGAAGACUUAGGCAAAUCCGGGUCUUCUUAACACCGAGAAGUGACGACGAGUGUCUACGGACAUGAAGUAACCGAUACCACGCUUCCAGGAAAAGCCACUAAGCUUCAGUUUGAAUCGAACCGUACCGCAAACCGACACAGGUGGGCAGGAUGAGAAUUCUAAGGCGCUUGAGAGAACUCGGGAGAAGGAACUCGGCAAAUUGAUACCGUAACUUCGGGAGAAGGUAUGCCCUCUAAUGUAAAGGACUUGCUCCGGAAGCAUCUGAGGGUCGCAGAGAAUCGGUGGCUGCGACUGUUUAUUAAAAACACAGCACUCUGCAAACACGAAAGUGGACGUAUAGGGUGUGACGCCUGCCCGGUGCUGGAAGGUUAAUUGAAGAUGUGAGAGCAUCGGAUCGAAGCCCCAGUAAACGGCGGCCGUAACUAUAACGGUCCUAAGGUAGCGAAAUUCCUUGUCGGGUAAGUUCCGACCCGCACGAAUGGCGUAACGAUGGCCACACUGUCUCCUCCCGAGACUCAGCGAAGUUG
rnacentral:rRNA from 1 species